rnacentral:tRNA from 10 species
GUCCACAUAGCUUACCACCAAA